rnacentral:lncRNA from 1 species
AAGGACAGCACAUUGACAAACAACACUUUUAGGAAAUGCCACAUAGCACCCAAAAUGAUUCAACACAUUAUGUCGGGUUGCAAGCUGCUUGCACAAACAGAUUACCUGCACAGACCUAACCAAGUAACAAACAUAAUACACCAAAAGCUCGCAACCAAACACAAAUCAAUAAAUACACUCUCACCAUAUUAUAAAUACAUAACAGCUACAAUCUUAGAAACACGACACAUAAGAUGUACUAUGACAGAACAAUCCUAACAGACAAAACCAUACGUCACAACAGACCAAACAUCACUCUCAGAGACAAGCAAAACAAAGUUACCUACAUUAUAGACAUCUCAAUACCAAUACAUACGACAUCCAGGAUGCAUUCAUUUGAAAAAUUAUCAAAUACACAGAACUCUCACAAGAAAUUAAGCGUCUUUGGGGAAUGCAAAAGAUAGUCACAGUACCGAUCAUUCU